ensembl:antisense
CUAUUCAGAGGAGGUGGUAGAGGGGCAGGCUCUCCCAGGAUAUGAGACCCCUAUGGAUGAGCCGCCCUGGAUCCCCAGAGGAGAAGGUCUCUGAAACCCAGUUGUCCGGGGUUCCUGACGCCCCUGAAGAUGCCCCUGGUGAUGACAUAGAUGGUGUAGAGGAUUCAGACUUGGUGCCCUCUGUCACCCUGGCUGCAGCCCUCAUCCUAGUGUUCCUCCUGAUGUCAUUCUGGCUAGCAUAGCCACCCUGUCAAACCUCCUGCCACUCUGCUAAGCUUCCUACUAAGUGGGUUCCUGAGCAGAGGACAGCAGGACAGCUGGGCUCCUAGCUCUGCUCUGGGUCGAUGGCAUUCAGUGCUGUGUGAGACCUGUUGAGGGAGGACCCCGUGGGAGGCUACAGCCUGGACCCCUAUGUUUAGGCAGCUCAUGUUCAUUCCUCUGGUCUGCUUCCAUUGAUAAUGAAGGCUGGUAGUGCCUGUUUCUUGGAAUUUUGAGGAAGAUGUCCAGUGAGUGGCCUUCUGUGGUCACGCUUAUCUAUACUCCCCCAACACACCAGCCUCUGAGCACUCACCCAAAAGAUUCAUUGGAAAGGGGCAAAGGAGCUGCCUCCAAAGGAUGCACUGAUCUCAUCUGCCACCUGGUGGUCAAAGAUAGAAUUGCACUUGCAUGAGGUUUGGGGUGUUCCAAGGGUCGGCUUUUUUUUUUUUUUUUUUUUUUCUUUUUUGAGAUGUGAAGUUUUGAGAUUUUUUUUUCAUGAGCAAGGAUCCCGCUGCCAAGUGAAAACUGUUUUGACAUUUGCUGCUGAUAUCUGUUCCCCAUCUCUGUCUUUGAUCUAAAAGCCAUUAGAGAGGCGGCAACUCUCCUGUUUUAAGGCAGGAUUAUGGGUGGUUCCCUUCUCAGGACACCAUGCCUUCCUGACUUCAGCAGCCUGAGUUCCACAAGAGACUUUCUUCUCAGGCAUGACUGCUUUUCAGGUAGGGAUCUGCUGGUUGGGUCUGGAAGGACAAGGCCAUGGUACAAACAUAUCUAGAGAACCCUGCAGUUAUCCACAUUCCACAGGGUCACUGCUCUGCCAAGCCUAGGGGAAGAGGGUACUGAAGCAUUCAGAGAACGGCCCAGGUGGCCCAGGAUUGCUAUGGCCUGGCUAGUGGCCAGAGACUGUCAGGAGGCUCUGGAGUGUCUCCAGGAAAGCUGCCUCAGACAGUGGGGGUGUUUAUGUUCUCCAGAUGCCAACCUUCCUUCCAGGAACUUGGGGUCUUGGAGGGAAGGAGUGAAGAUGGGUCUGAGCUCUGGUUUCUGAACUGUUCUGUACCCAUGCCAGGGUCCCAGUAGAGGGUGCUGCUCCCUCCUGGGAAUGUGAAGCACAUGACUGUGUGCCCCACUGGGGACAAAGUCCUCUGCUCCAGGUUGACAGCAGUGUUAGUCCAACACUUGGGUCCUGUCGCCUCAGGCAAUAUGAGAAGUGAGCAGGAGCUUUAGGUGGCCUCAGAGAGUCUUGGAGGAGUAUAGGUGUAGUCCUUGAAGCAAUGGUGACAAGCACUUUGGCUGGUAGACUGAGGGCAAAGGCUGGGAGUUGGACGAUGCUUUCCCACCAGCUGGAUAGGAGGCGGCAUGCGGGGGGCAGGGUGUCCAAGCAAAGAGGAAAGUGGGACUCUCAGAGGGCCGCUGUGGGGUAGACCUCCACAGUGAGGCUCUGAGCAUGAGAAGUAGCAGGGCCUUAAGUAUGGCUCCCGCAGCCUCUGACCUUCUUCUCUUACCCCUAUUUAUCCCUGCUGGAGGAGAGAAGCUGAAGCCAGAUACCUGAUCCCUCCUGUUCUCUGGGUUUCUACUCUUGUGCCCUUGGGUGCAGCUGGUCAGUGAACAAGUCUGACCUCUUUGGAAUUUAGCACAAGUUGUCACUUUCUGUCUGGUGUGACCCCAAGCCCCUCUUCCCUCCUGACACCUCCCCAUCUGUGAAGCUGACCAGACGCAAAGCUAGAACAUCAAUUCCCUUUCCCUCGACGGCUGCGCUCACCGCUGUCCUUUCUGUCAGGCAUGGAUGGCAGCAGCAUCCUGGAAAUCAUGACGACUGCAGGCUUCGGGGAGCUCAGGAGAGCUGGGCCGUGGACGGAAGCUCUUCCAGGCUUGCCUGCCUGAAAUCCAGGUUCUACCACAGUUCCAGUGCCAACAAGCUACCCAUGCAGGCCAGGGCAAGUGCAUGCAUUGUUAAAUAGGACUCAUGAAAAUGCCCUGUGGUUUCCAGGUCUCCAGUGGCCAGCUCGCUGUCUGGCCCCAUUCCUGGAUUCUCAGUGCCCAGCCCAUCAGCACAAGUACCUGGGGAGAAUGCAGGCCAGGAAGACAUUGCAUCUGCAAGGAAAAUAUUGUUUUAUAGAAUUCAGUGGCCCAUUCUGUAAACAUUGUGGUUCUGCCUCAGGUUUUUUUUCCUGCCUGUCUCCAGGGAGCACCUCCAGGGAGCACCUCCAGGGAGCACCAGGGAGCACUGGGCAGCCGGAUGCCUGAGCUUAGGAAAAUAUGUGCUUUGGGUGAGUUGGCUGUUGCACAGGAUGGACUUGGGGACUUUACCAGGCGUGUGAGAGAAUCCAGGAGUGGCGCUGGUUGGAGUUUUCCUCCAGAGGCUUAUAGAGAGACAGUGUAUGGAUACACACAUGGAUAUGAAUGUUUGUCUAUGUACAUCUGUAUUUAUGUAUGCAUGAGGAUAAUUAUACAUGUGUAUGC